rnacentral:rRNA from 1 species
CCUACGGGUGGCAGCAGUGAGGAAUAUUGGUCAAUGGCGCGAGCCUGAACCAGCCAAGUAGCGUGAAGGAUGACUGCCCUACGGGUUGUAAACUUCUUUUAUAAAGGAAUAAAGUGAGGCACGUGGGCCUUUUUGUAUGUAUUUUAUGAAUAAGGAUCGGCUAACUUCGUGCCAGCAGCCGCGGUAAUACGGAGGAUCCGAGCGUUAAUCGGUUUUUUUGGGUUUAAAGGGAGCGUAGAUGGGUUGUUAAGUCAGUUGUGAAAGUUUGCGGCUCAACCGUAAAAUUGCAAUUGAUACUGGCAGCCUUGAGUACAGUUGAGGUAGGCGGAAUUCGUGGUGUAGCGGUGAAAUGCUUAGAUAUCAUGAAGAACUCCGAUUGCGAAGGCAGCCUACUAAACUGCCACUGACAUUGAUGCUCGAAAGUGUGGGUAUCAAACAGGAUUAGAUACCCGAGUAGUC